rnacentral:pre_miRNA from 1 species
AGCCUUCUGUAUCCGUGUUGAGAUUUCGUCACACAUCAGACCACAGGGGCUGAUGAGAUUCAUAAGAGAAGUGAAGCU